rnacentral:lncRNA from 1 species
UAUCAUUGCUUUAGUGAUUAAUCAUAUCAUAUAACUAUGUCAAUGGAUGAUAUAAAUUAAAGACAUGAUCAUGAUGACUCAAUGGAUAAUAAAUCUUUCUUUUUCUUUCUUUCUUUUUUUGUUGUUGUUGUGAAAGAGUAGGCAAUGUUAAACUUUGAUGAAUACAAGAAUGGUUGGCAGUCUUUUUUUUUAAAUUUAUUUAUAUAUAUAUGAAAUAUAUAUCAGAAGAACGGUUGGUGCAUAGUAGUAACGUAUAUAGACAAUUUUACAAAAAGAAAACAAAAAACGUAUAUAGACAAAUGUUAUGGAUAGUGACAAGUGUCAACAUGUUUUUAC